rfam:Norovirus Hu/GII.g-GII.12/StGeorge/NSW199T/2008/AT, complete genome.
AGUGGCUACCCGCACCACGUGCGGAAGAAUGAACAUUGGAAUGGGGAAUCUU